GUAACCAAGCAGGGCUCUCUCUCCCUCUUGUCCCCAGGUGGACCCCUCGACCUCAUGUCUUGCAGAGUGGUUGCUGCCGGCACCCGAGAGAUGGCGAUGCUCAUUGCUCAGGCCUUACAAACUAUUAACUACGGACGUGAUGAUGAGAAGUGAGAGGGUCCAGACACCAAGAGUGACGUGCUGAGGCUGGCCUUCCUGGGACGCUGCAGAGGACAACUCCCUGGGGAGGGAGCUGCCCUAGCACCUGGGCUCCACUGCGGGCCAGGUGUCUCACUACCCCAAAGGGAGAUGUCAUGUUCAAGUCUGUGGCUAGCCUUGUUAAACCCACAUCUUUGUCCGGGAUCUGGUAUUUAGAAUGCGAAUCUCAGGUAAUAAGGCUUUAGAACUGCUGAUAAAGCAGACUUGUUCUCAGGCCUCCCCGUGGUCCUUCAGAAUGCAAUAAACUAAAGUGUCGGUGC